AACGAACGCUGGCGGCAGGCCUAACACAUGCAAGUCGAGCGCCCGUAGCAAUACGGGAGCGGCAGACGGGUGAGUAACACGUGGGAACGUGCCCAAAGGUACGGAACAACUCCGGGAAACUGGAGCUAAUACCGUAUGUGCCCGAAAGGGGAAGAUUUAUCGCCUUUGGAUCGGCCCGCGUCUGAUUAGCUAGUUGGUGAGGUAAUGGCUCACCAAGGCGACGAUCAGUAGCUGGCUGAGAGGAUGAUCAGCCACACUGGGACUGAGACACGGCCCAGACUCCUACGGGAGGCAGCAGUGGGGAAUAUUGGACAAUGGGCGCAAGCCUGAUCCAGCCAUGCCGCGUGAGUGAUGAAGGCCCUAGGGUUGUAAAGCUCUUUCGGCGGGGACGAUAAUGACGGUACCCGCAGAAGAAGCCCCGCUAACUUCGUGCCAGCAGCCGCUGUAAC
rnacentral:rRNA from 1 species